rnacentral:rRNA from 1 species
CGGAGGGUGCGAGCGUUGUCCGGAAUCAUUGGGCGUAAAGGGCGCGUAGGUGGCCCGGUCAGUUCGUGGUGAAAGCGCGGGGCUCAACCCUGCGUCGGCCAUGAAUACUGCCGCGGCUGGAGCACUGUAGAGGCAGGCGGAAUUCCGGGUGUAGCGGUGGAAUGCGUAGAGAUCCGGAAGAACACCGGUGGCGAAGGCGGCCUGCUGGGCAGUUGCUGACACUGAGGCGCGACAGCGUGGGGAGCAAACAGGAUUAGAUACCCUGGUAGUCCACGCCGUAAACGAUGGGCACUAGGCGCUUGGGGGAGCGACCCCCCGAGGGCCGGCGCUAACGCAUUAAGUGCCCCGCCUGGGGAGUACGGCCGCAAGGCUG